rnacentral:sRNA from 1 species
UAAUCCAACCUUCUUUGGCGUUGACCGCCUU